AAACUGUCUCCGCCACUAGGAUAAAAGUUCCAUUAUAAACAAAAGAAGGUGGUGAUCCAUUGAUGAUGUCUAUCUUGGGAGAGGAAUGGAUGGCUUGAAGGAAAGCAGUGGAAAGCCUGAUGCAGCCUCACCUGACAGUAAUUAAAGAUAAAGACGAUGUCUUCAACUUUUGAAUCUUGCUAUGAGU